GGCAUGGUGAUCUAUGGGCAGGAUGCUUUAGACCAGGAAGGCCUGUGUUCUAAUCCACACAUGGCCAUGAAAUUUACUAGAUGACUUUGGACCAUGCACAUUCUCUGCCAGAGCUACUGUGUCAUGGUGAUGAGAAGCGAGGGCUGCAGAGAUCCAGGUUGCAAUCUCUGCCCAGCCAUGAAGCACAUUGGGGUGACCUUGGGACAGUCGCCAUCUCUCAACCCAGCCAGCACACUCUGUUGUUGUGACGAUAUUAGCUGUGUAUCAGCCACAUACAGUGCCUUGAGCCCAUUGGAGGAAAGUGUUGGAGGGGGAUUUCCAGCUGGUGGCAGAGGACAGAGUGACUCCAGGAGACAUAGGUGUAAAAACCCAAACUAAAACGAAGACUUUAUUACUAAACAAUAAACACAAACUCUGGUGGGUGUUAUUCCUGCAGGCAGGCUACAAAACUCAGCUUUUUUCCUUUAUAGCAACGGCCAGCUGCAGCCAAUUAAUCCCAGAAACCUCUUAAAGGUAUACACACAUGUUUCUGUGCCGAAUGUUCCCUAACAGAAAGGUGCAAUAAAUUUGUUGGAAGCUGCCCUGAGAGGCUGGGGCAACCCAGUCAGAUGGGUGGGAUACAAGUAAUUAAGUAGUAGUAGUAGUAAUUAGGUUUAUCUCAUGAAGUUGUUGUGAAGUUAAAAUGGGGUCAGCAGGAGAGGGCAUACUUCGUAGGAGGUGCAGUAUAUCUGUAUCUCUUACUAUAGAAUAAAAUUGUGAGUCGGCGUCACUCUGUUUUCAUUGGCUGCUUUCCUAAAGUUCUAAAGGCAGGAGUGGGAUGAGGAUGCUCUGAGAAAACAGUGUGUCAAUGCGGUCUUGGGAGAGAAGCAAAUGAGGGUAGGUUGCUACAGGCUUUUUAGCCCUCUGGUGGCUAGCAGGAGGAAAAGAGAAGGAACUUGGGAGGGCAGGUGGACCUCACUAGGGGGCAUUUGGAGGGAUGGGGGAGCAGAGAGGUGUGUGGUAAUGUUAGGUCCCCAGUGUUGGUGACGUAGGGCAGAAUGCUGCAGAAGAGGAGGAACUGGGGAGGUAGGAGGGGGAAGGGACUGGGGGUAAAGGGUGCAUUUGCAGUGCUGUGGAUAAGCAAGAUGGAGCACUAGGAUGAAAGAAACUAGGUUGUGGGUCAGGAGGAGGGAGAUUCUGGAUGGUAGUCAUGUCUGUGGUAAGUGGCUGAGGGAGGUUGAAAGGAAAGACUGGAACGGAAGGAGAGUGUUUAUGACACUUUUAGGCAAUGCUUAGCUAAAUGGACUCAAUAUGGGGUAGCUUCCUAUGUUCUAAAACGCACACCUUACCUCUGGCCUCCUUUGGAAAAAGAUGGCGGGUCUCAAACACCCAGAGAUGGAAAUCCUCCCAUAGUAAUUUGAUAUAUUUCAGAACUCAUUGCUGGAAAGGAUAUUGGAGGCAGCCUGGUCCAACCUUAAGCUCAGGGAAGAAUCUCCAGCACAGGUUGGAACUGCAGCAUCCUUAAGAGAUAACUAUUCAGCCUCUGAUUAUACCUCUUGGGCUUCCCGAUGAGGUCAGCGGUUCAAAUCCCCGUGACGAGGGGAGCUCCCAUUGCUCUGCCCUAGCUCUUGCCAACCUAGCAGCUCGAAAGCACACCAGUGCAGGUAGAUAAAUAGGUACUGCUGCGGCGGGGAGGUAAAUGGAGUUUCUGUGCUCUCUGGUUUCUGUUACAGUCUUCCAUUGCACCAAUAGCAGUUUAGUUAUGCUGGCCACAUGACCUGGAAAGCUGUCUGUGGUCAAACACUGGCUCCUUCAGUCUGAAAGCGAGAUGAGCGCCGUAACCCCAUAGUCGUCUUUGACUGGACCUAACUGUCCAGAGGUCUUCUACCUUUUACCUUUUACCUUUUACCUAUACCUCUAGUAGAGAAGACCUCCCACAUCAGACUGAUCCACUGUCAACACAAAACCUCCUUGCAUCUAGAAUACUAGCUUUCAGAAAGGAAGGCUACAGAAUGAUGGGAACUGCAGCCACAUUGGCUACUCCAGGUUUUGGAUGUCUUGAAAAACACUAAAUCAUUCUGCAGCUGCCAAUUAUCUGUUUUUCUCUUUGGCUUGAUGGUAUUCCAGUCUCUGGAUUAAUUUGUAGUUUGAAACCCCCUUUGCUUCAUCUUCAAAGUGCCUAAUGUACACUAAGAACCUGUUCGUUUUUUCAGUUUGUGUUUUAAAUCUCCCAACUUUUUUGUUGUUGCUACACUGUACAUUCCUGCUCUAUUGCUUGUUUUAAAUACUUCUAUUUAAAAAUUAACAAAACCUCCACAUUGUCCUAAGAAAGGUAGGCAGUUUUUGUUUUGUAAGAAUGAGGAAAUGCUGAAAGAGGCAACUUGAAACUGUCCUUAACGUUUGUGGUCUGUAACUGGGAUGCUGUCUUUGUGGACACUGCUCUGAAUGACAGACUGUAGCAAUACCUUUCCAACGGCCUUUGAUUUCGGCAAGUUUCCCUUCAACCGCUCCCGGUGUCACAACGUCUGAAGGAUCCUAUAAAUAUCGAAAGCUCUGUCUUGCCCUGGAAACCUUUGAGACUUGGCCUUGCUUGUAACACUGCAUCCAGCUUUCCCACAUUGCUCCAUCCCAGCUGAGUCAUGAAGAUCCUCCAGCUGUGCCUGGCAGUUCUCUCUUUGCUGCUCCUGUCUUCCUCAGGUAAGGAGAGAGGACACUUGUCAGCCAAUGGGAAGGGUAAGAGGAAUCAAGACGUCCUUCUGUGGCACUGCAAAGGGAACAAGCGUUUCUCUCUAACUUUUAUUCCAUAGAAGGAAACUAGCUUGGUCCUUCCAUCAGAAAUGUGUUUCCCCAGAAGCUGCACCCUGCACCAUGCGCUGCAACUCCCAUUGCACACAUGCGCAGAACUGUAGCAGCUCGUGUUCCGUUUCGAGAUUUCUAAACAAUUAAGCAGCUUACAAAUGCUUUUAAAUAAAUAAAAUAAAUACAAAUAGCCAGAGAUGUUUCUUUAGUGGACACUGACAGCCAGAACAAGCUUGAACAAGCACCGGUGGCCUUCUAGCUAAAUUUCAGGCAGAAGCAUGGCCCAGUCAGUGGUCUAACUGGCUCAAUACAGUCUACACUGACUGGCAGUGGCUCUCUGGGGCACUAGGCAAGAGUCUCCCCAAACCCUCCUUGGAGAUGAUGAGUUGAUGCUUGGCUGUUCCACUGAAGAGGGAAAAUACUUGCUCUCUGCUGCCCCAGAGGGCAGGACUAUUUGGAUCAAGUGAUACAUAGGUUUCAGUUGAACAUUAGAAAAACCUUCUUGAUGGUAAGAGCAGCUGUGGUGGGCUCUCGCUCACUGAAGAGCCAUCUGUUGGGGGAUGCUCAUGUUCUGGAUUCUCUGCAUUGUUCACAGGGUGGAGUAGAUGACCUAGUGAUGUCCUCCAUUUUUUCCUAUAAACCAAUAGGAAACACACUCGGAAUCCUGGUUUCCAUGAAGGCAAAACAACGCCAUCCUUGCACAAAAGGGAUGCUUUGGGGGGGACCUCAAACACAGCAGAUAUUCAAAAACUCUUAAGGGUGAGGGACUCAGGAAACCUUCUCCCACCCAAAAAAUUAGCCCACAGACUAAUGAGGCACAUUGUCUAUUUGUGGGAGUGGGGACUGGAGAGGAGGGUGCAUGGAAUGGUGUACCAUGGAUGAGGGCAUGGGCAGCUGAGACCAUGAAAAGGAGCACUCUGAACUAUAAGCACUUUGUUGAAGGUCCCAUUUCUGAUGAAGUGAUUCUUUUUUAAAAAAAAUGAUAUUUAUUAAAAGUUUAAAAAUUACAGAAGAAAAAAAGAAAUAACAAUAAAGUAGAAAAAAACCAAUAACAAAACACAUAAAACAUAUAAAAACCAUACAAUAAUACAGCAAAAAAAAACAGACAAAAAAGAAACUAAAAAAACACAUCCAAUAUUCCAUGUCUUUGCCUUUCCUUAACUUAUUUCAUCGACCUCCUCACACCUCCCUUUUUUUGUAUUCUAGUUCAAUUCACUAUUUCAGCAAGUUCUUCCCAUCUUUCUCAAUUUUGAUUCUAUAGUUUUAACGAUCUAACCUUAAUUUUUUUCAAUUUAACCCAAUAUCAAUCAACUUUUACUUAAUUCUUUGUUGCAUUUCUACUAAAACCAUGUUAAUUCAUUCCCGCAUCCUUCUAACACUCAUUAAUUUUACAUGAUGAAGUGAUUCUAAAGCAGGAAUGGGGAGCAACUUCAGCUAUUGGCUCAACAUCCAGAGAGUCCAGGAAUCCCCCAUUCCUGAACUUGUGUCUCCCUUUCUUCCUCUUUUGAAUUUCCUCUCCUCUCCCAGUGGAAUUUGCUGCCAAGGAGUGUGGUGGAGUCUCCUUCUUUGGAGGUCUUUAAGCAGAGGCUUGACAACCAUAUGUCAGGAGUGCUCUGAUGGUGUUUCCUGCUUGGCAGGGGGUUGGACUCGAUGGCCCUUGUGGUCUCUUCCAACUCUAUGAUUCUAUGAUUCUAUGAUUCUCCCAAGUGUACAGUAACCUAUUUUUCUUCCUCUGUGUAGGAUCUGCCCAGCUAACACCAGGGAAUGCUCAGCAAUGCAGAGGCAACGGUGGUUUUUGCAGAUUUAGAAGGUGUCACCCACCCUACAUUCAGUUUGGGAAAUGUGGAUGGCUGAGGAGAUGUUGCAUAAGGUAACUUCAGCUUACCAGACAAGAGAUCAAAUGAGUAGCCAGGAUAUAAGUUUCAUCAAAGCUUUUUUGAUGCUUAUUAUUAUUAUUAUUAUUAUUAAUAUGUUUACGGUAUUAUUCUAAGAUUUAUAGUUGGUCCAUCAAAAAGACUUCCCCCAGGGCAACUUCCAAAUGGCAAUAAAAUUCUAUACAUAAAGGGAUAAAAUAUUAAAAGUGGUUCGUGGUGCAAGUGCUGCCUCUGGCAGCGAUCCUAUAUAGUUCCAUAGAUCCAGCCCAUUUGCAAAGCCAAGAUAAUGCCAUAUAUAAAAAUAAUACAAACAUUUAAAAACAAUUCCCCAGAUUAAAAAAAAAAACAGCUAAAAGACUGUGGAAGCCCGUCUAUUGGAGGAAAUGGAUGCCUGUCCCACUAACCUCAAUCUUCCAACCCCACCUGCCCAAUUUCUUAUCUGCAACCAGUGCGGGGUGCUGGCAUAGUAUAUUGAGUUUAUACCACUAGGAAAUCUUGGAAAUAACAUCCUAAAACUUCCCCUUCUACUUUUUCUUUUAGGCCUAUGAUCCUAAUUCUAUUUUACCUACUCCCAAUGCCCAUAUAGCGGGACGCGGGUGGCGCUGUCGGUUAAACCACAGAGCCUAGGGCUUGCCGAUCAGAAGGUCGGCGGUUCGAAUCCCCGCAGCGGGGUGAGCUCCCGUUGCUCGGUCCCUGCUCCUGCCAACCUAGCAGUUCGAAAGCACAUCAAAGUGCAAGUAGAUAAAUAGGUACCACUCCGGCGGGAAGGCAAAUGGCGUUUCCGUGUGCUGCUCUGGUUCGCCAGAAGCGGCUUAGUCAUGCUGGCCACAUGACCCGGAAGCUGUACGCCGGCUCCCUCGGCCAAUAAAGCUAGAUGAGCGCUGCAACCCCAGAGUCGGUCACGACUGGACCUAAUGGUCAGGGGUCCCUUUACCCUUCCCCUUUAAUUCCCUUAUCUUCAAUUUUCCACUUCCCAUUCAGUUCUGUUUUGCUAUUGUGUCAAGUUGAGGUGGGACCUGCCCUGCGCUAUAUAUAUGACCGCUCCCAACACCAAAAUAGGGGGGGUUGGCUUUUGCGCAGUUGCACACAGUCUGCCCCCCCCAUCCCAUGUGGUAGUAGAGCCUGGAUAUGCCCCCCCAGGCUGUACACCUGGAGCUAGCUGCCUACCUCUGCUACCUCUCAGUUACCCAAUCCCAGCUGGGGGGGGGGGUUCCCAGGAAAGAGUUGGCCAGGUAAGGGGAGGGAUCGACCAGCCCACACAACAGUGGGCGGAACUUACCUGGGAGUUCUCAGUCGGAUUCAGAGCUUCUCCCACCCUGCCCUCCCUUACUGAAAUAUGCUCUUUAUUCAGCUCAUAGUGGUGAGGAGGAAUGAAUGAAUGUCGCCUCAAAGUAUCUGCUUUAUAUACAUUAUUUACACAAUGGGCUGCACAUGAUUGGCUAAUUCCGGAAUUCUACUGUAAGCCAAUCAGGUUGUGGAUUCACUUCUAUCUGGAGCAUGAUUGGUUGGUUCCCGCCAACCAAUCAUACUGCUGCAUUGUUCUAGGACCAAUCAGCAGGUCGGAGCUAAACAGUACAAACUGAGAGCAUUUGCAGAUGACUUAGUACUGACGUUACAGGAGCCAGAAUCUAGUACCAAAAGGGUUUUAGAAUUGAUUCAAGAAUUUGGUCAAGUCGCAGGAUUUAAAUUGAAUAAGGUAAAAACUAAGGUUUUAGAGAAAAAUUUAACACCAAUAGAGAGAGAGAGGUUUCAGAAUGAACUUCCGGUUGGUGCCAGCAGCAAUGGCGGACCUCCUUUGAAGUUCGGAGGGGGUAGCUCAGCGGGAGAUCGGGUCCUGUGCGCUCCGGCGAAGCGGGGACCCUCAGAAAUCGCAGGCGCGGACGCCUGCGAACGUGGAGGCUCGGCGGGCACCCUGAAGCGCCCCCCCCAACCUGAAAAGAAGCCUUUUUGAGGCUUCGGAAGGGAGCGGGGGAGAGAAGCGCGGUGCUGCGAGCGGAUCGCUGCUCCCGCUGAGCGAAGCCGCGUUGCCGUUGCUGGAGAGCGCUGACUUAUUCCUGGGAAAUUCGGACUCAAAAACUAACCGUGAGUAGAGGAAUUGGACAAAAGAGCAGGAUUUGGAUUAAUUUGGAACUUUGGCAAAAAAGCGGAAAAGUUUAAAGUUUUAAAAAAAUGGCUGAAUUGGCUACCGCGGUGGAAGCUUAAACAGGAAGUCGGCUUCACUGCAUUGUAUAAAGAACAAAGCAAAGAGAUUUGGAGCUAAACGUGAAGAGCUGAAUUGAAAUAAGUGUAAUCUUCUGACCUGAGGACUUUGGAGGGAUCUACCCUUAGGAGAGUUAAGGGAAAGACUUUUGAUUUUAUAGGAUCGUUUAAACUGAAAGACUAAAUGAGUGAUCUGUCACUCAGCUGUCAAAGCUGUCAAAGUUGCUAAAGCUGUUUGCUGGCUGCAAAGGAGAUACAUAGUGGCCAAUUUUACUGAGAAAAGACUGGAAAAGACUGAAAAGUUAUAUUGUGGCUUUUACUUUGGACUCUUUUUCUCCUCUUACUUAGUAUCUUUCCCUUGUUGUUUUAAAAGACAGUAACUUGUUAAGUGGCAACAGUGUCCAUCUAGUGGGACUUUCUGUAACUGCAGGAAAGGAAAGGAAUUUUCCAAUUAUAAACAGGAAGAGUGGACGUGGGAAAGUAACUUGACCUUCACUCUGUUAUGGCUGAUGGUUUUAAGGACCAGUCAACCUUGAGAUCAGGGAAACCUUGGACACAUAGAAGGCAAUCAUCUGCUGGUUUGCCUACAUCGGCAACACAAUCUAAGUCUGGUGGAAUGUCUGAGGAAUUUUUAGCUAGUGCUCUGUCUAAGAUUAAUGAUUCAAUACAGCAGCUAUCUACAAAAGUGGGGGAGACGAACAGGAAGGUGGAAGAGACCAGUCAGAAAGUGGAUAUUGCAAACAAGAAAAUUGACCUAAAUACAGAAACAUUAGGCAACUUGGAGAAAAAAGUAAACAGCAAUACAGAAUCUAUCCAGAAAUUGCUGCAAGAUUCAAAGUCUAUACAGGAAAAAACUGCUGCUGUAGAGUUUAAAUUGGGGCAGUUGGAAACUGAAAAAGUACCAGACAUACAGAAAGAGAUCGCAGAACAUAAGCUAACGUUAUCUAUGAUAGACCUCAAAGACAAACAAACGAAUCUCAGAAUCAGAGCUGUUCCUGAGUUGGAGAAAGGUACUUUGAUAGACUUUUUGACACAAGAAUUUCUGGACUUUUGGAAAUCGGAAUUGAAACAAGAGGAUUUUAAGAUCGUGAGGGCCUUUCGAUUGGGGAAAGGAGGAAGAAAGAUUAAAAUAAGGGACUGUUUGAUUACUCUUCGAUCUAAGGAAGAAAGGGACAAAAUUUUGGGUUUACAUUACGAAAAACCCUUGACAAUUAUACAAUCAAAAGUUGAAAUUUUUAAAGAUAUACCAAAACAUCUUCUUGAUUUAAGAAAGGACUUUGGAGACCUGGUGGACUUGUUGAGAAAAAAUAAAAUUCUUUUCAGGUGGGAAUUUCCCCAAGGCCUAUCCUUUAGCUUUAAGGGAAGAAAGACCAAGAUCAGAUCAGUGGAGGAAAAGAACAAGUUCCUGAGUGCAUACGAAGAAGACCUACUGAAAGGAUUGGGAAAAGACAUUGCGAUACCGGACAAGAGUCAGCAGAAAAAAGGGAAACCAACGCCACCGACAGACAUAGACAAUCUUCUUGGGGCUGCUGGAGGAGAAGGAGAGUAGUCACAAAAUGACACUACAAAUUUUAAGCUGGAAUAUUAAUGGUCUAAAUUCGUCGGCUAAAAGGGGAAGAGUAUUUCAUACAUUGAAAAAAGAACAUUUGGACUUGAUCUGUUUACAAGAGACUCAUGUGACAAGGCUACAUCGGAAAAUCUUGAUAAAUAAAAGAUUGGGAGAGGAAUUUAUUUCAUCGGACAAUGUUAAAAAAGAGGGGUAGUACUUUAUGCGAAGGAAAGCCUGUCACCAAAAUUUAUAUUUAAAGAUGAUCAAGGAAGAUAUAUAGCAAUUGAAAUUCAAUUCCAAGGACAGAAAUUCUUGAUAUUAGGUGUAUAUGCACCAAAUGAGGGAAAAUCAGAAUUCUUCAAGAAAUUGCAUGAAACUCUCUUGGACUAUUUGGAUUACAAUAUUAUCUUGAUGGGAGACAUGAAUGGAGUAGUGUCUACAAAUAUGGACAAGGCCCAAAGACAAACAGUGACAAAAGAUGGAAGAUUACCAAAGACAUUCUUUGAAAUGACUGACAAUAUGGAUCUUGUGGAUAUUUGGCGAACAAAGAACCCCUUGGAAAGAGAAGGAACCUUCUUCUCUGAAGCAAAUAUGACAUGGACAAGAAUAGACCAAAUCUGGAUAACUAGAGGACUGGCUCCUAAAAUUAAAAAAGCAGUGAUUUGUCCGAAAAUCUGCUCCGAUCACAAUCCAGUAAAGAUUGAAAUGACAUCAAUGCCAAUUGGGGCCUUUAGAUGGAGGAUGAAUGACUCCUUAUUCAGGAAUGAGGAAAUUAUUAAAAAGGCUCAAAAAAAUUUGAGAGACUAUUUUGAAAUAAAUUUGAAUACUACGACAGAAAAAGAGUGAUUUGGGAUGCCAGUAAAGCGGUGAUGAGAGGAUUCUUGAUACAACAAAAUGCAAUUAGGAAAAGAUAUCAAAAUGAGAAGAGAGAAAAAAUCUUGGAGAAAAUAAAGGAUGGAGAAAAAAGAUUGAGAGCGAAACCGAACUCACAGGAGAUUUUAAAAGAGAUAAAGCUAUACCAAGUACAGUAUAUGAAAUUGAUGAAUCAGGAGAUAGAAUGGAAGAUUAAACAGAUGAAACAAAAGACCUUCGAAUCGGCAAAUAAAUGUGGGAAGUUAUUGGCCUGGCAAAUGAAGAAAAGACAAAAGCUGAAUACAAUCACGAACUUGGUUGUAGAAGGAAAGAAUAUACAGAAUCCUGGAGAGAUUCGGAAGUGCUUUCAGAACUAUUUCAAACAGUUAUACACGCAGGAGACUCAGAAAGAUCUAGACAUUGACCGAUUUUUGGAAAAUAAUGGAUUACAAAAAAUAUCUCAAGACAGUAAAUCAAUAUUAAAUUCGAUUAUAUCUGAUCAAGAAGUGGAAGGAGCCAUUCAGAAUAUGAAAUUGGGCAAAUCUCCAGGGCCGGAUGGAUUAACUGCAAAGUACUACAAAACUUUGAAAGAAUGGUUAUUGCAACCGUUGAAAGAACUUUGUAAUGAAAUACUACGGGGAGGAAAAGCACCCGAGUCGUGGAAAGAAGCGUAUAUUACACUUAUACCAAAAACCGAGGGGAGAAGACACAGUUGAAGAACUACCGUCCCAUAUCCCUGUUAAAUGUGGAUUACAAAAUUUUUGCUGAAAUUAUGGCUAAGAGAUUAAAAAACGUAUUGGUAAAAGAGAUUCAUAAAGACCAGGCGGGUUUUCUGCCUGGGAGACAUUUGUCAGACAACACUAGGAACAUCAUUAACAUUUUGGAAAAAUUGCAAGUCAAUAUUAAUACUAAAGCUGUUUUAAUAUUUGUAGAUGCAGAGAAAGCGUUUGAUAAUAUUUCUUGGAGUUUUAUGAAGAAAAAUCUGCAGGGGAUGGGGGUAGGCCAAAGUUUCGAAAAUGGUAUAGGUGCAAUUUAUUCGGAACAAAAAGCUAAGCUUAUUGUGAACAAUGUAGUCACAGAAGAAUUUAAGAUAGAGAAAGGAACAAGACAGGGCUGCCCAAUCUCCCCAUUGCUUUUUAUAUCGGUCCUCGAGGUUUUGCUCAAUAUGAUUAGAAAAGACCAAUUGGUUAAAGGCAUACAACUCGGAGCUAAACAGUACAAAUUGAAAGCUUUUGCUGAUGAUUUAGUUUUGACAGUACAGGAGCCAGAAGCUAGCACAAAAAGGGUGUUACAAUUAAUACAAGAAUUUGGUCAAGUAGCUGGUUUUAAAUUAAACAAGAUGAAAACCAAGGUAUUAGAGAAAAAUCUUACAGAGAUAGAGAAGGAGAGGUUCCAGAAAGAGACAGGAUUAACAAUUGUUAACAAAGUGAAAUAUUUAGGGGUGAAUAUGACUGCUAAAAAUGUGAAUUUGUUUAAAGAUAAUUAUGAAAAAUGUUGGUCAGAGGUGAAGAAGGAUCUAGAAAUAUGGUCAAAAUUGAAGUUAUCAUUGCUUGGCCGAAUUGCUGCGAUAAAGAUGAAUGUACUGCCUAGAAUGUUGUUUUUGUUUCAAACAUUACAAAUUGUGGACAAAAUGGACUGUUUCAAGAGGUGGCAAAGAGACAUUUCCAAAUUUAUCUGGCAGGGCAAAAAACCUAGAAUAAAAUUUAAGAUAUUAACAGAUGCGAAGGAAAGAGGGGAUUUGCCCUGCCAGAUCUUAAACUUUACUAUGAAUCAGCCGCUUUUUGCUGGCUGAAAGAUUGGCUACUUCUUGAAAAUGUGGACAUUUUGGAUCUAGAAGGUUUUGAUAACGUCUUUGGAUGGCAUGCAUAUCUAUGGUAUGACAAAGUUAAAGCGCAUAAGGCCUUUAAGAAUCAUAUUGUCAGGAAAGCAUUGUUUAAUGUUUGGGUGAGAUAUAAGGAUUUGUUGGAAAGUAAAACACCAAGGUGGCUGUCACCAAUGGAGGCAAAGGCAUUGAAAAAAACUAAUAUGGAGACAAACUGGCCAAAAUAUUGUGAAAUCUUAGAACAAGUUGGUGAUAAACUAAAAUUGCAGAGCUUCGACAAAUUAAAAACUAAAGUUCGAGAUUGGCUGCAUUAUUAUCAAAUAAGGGAGGUUUUUAAUUUAGACAAAAGAUUGGUUUCCAGGAGGAAAAAUCUAAACUGGAAACGGAAUUGUUAGAACCUAAAACUAAAAAUCUGUCAAGAAUGUAUAAUCUGCUGUUGAAAUGGAAUACACAGGAUGAAAUGGUCAAAUCUGCUAUGAUUAAAUGGGCGCAAGAUGUUGGGCAUAACAUUAUGUUUGCUGACUGGGAACGGUUAUGGACCACAGGUAUGAAAUUUACGGCUUGUAACGCCUUAAGAGAAAAUAUAAUGAAAAUGAUUUACAGGUGGUACUUAACCCCAGUCAAGCUAGCAAAAAUUUAUCAUUUGCCUGAUAAUAAAUGUUGGAAAUGUAAAGAAAACGAAGGUACCUUUUUUCACCUUUGGUGGACGUGCCCAAAGAUCAAGGCCUUCUGGGAAAUGAUAUAUAAUGAACUAAAAAAGGUAUUGAAAUAUACUUUCUUGAAGAAACCAGAGGCCUUCCUCUUGGGCAUGGUCGGUCAAUUGGUGCGAAGGGAAGACAGGAAUUUUUUUAUGUAUGCGACAGCAGCAGCAAGAAUACUCAUUGGGAAAUACUGGAAGACACAAGAAUUGCCUACCCGAGAAGAAUGGCAGAGAAAAGUGAUAGACUAUAUGGAACUGGCUGAGAUGACCGGCAGAAUUCGAGAUCAAGAAGAAGGGUCGAUGGAAGAAGAUUGGAAAAAAUUUAAAACAUAUCUUCAGAAUCACUGUAAUAUAAAAGAAUGUUAGAAAAGGUUGGAGAAGAAUAUUAGACCGUAUUGGCAGACAGAGUAUAAUGGAAUUAAGUAAAUAUGAAGUGUAAAAUAAAAGAUAGAGGAGAAUUAAAUAUUUUUGAAUGUUAAAAUAAGUAAAUGAAAAGAAGGUUAGAAGGAUUUGCUGGAGAUACAAUUUGAAUUAGAAUACAAAGCAGAGAAGUGAGAGGAAGUCACGGAAAUAAGUAAAUGGGAAAACGGCUCUAAUGGUUUAAGUUGAAUUUUUCUUUUGUUAUUUUUUAUUGUGAUUUUUUGUCUUGUGUAUUUUUCCUUGUAUUGUGUGUUUUUCUUGUAGGAUGUAUGUGAUCAGUUUUUCUUUCUUUACUUUUUUCUUUUUCUGUAAUCUUAAAAUUUGAAUAAAUAUUAUAAAAAAAAAAGAGAGGUUUCAGAAUGAGACAGGUUUAACAGUGGUUAAGAAAGUUAAAUAUUUGGGGAUCAACUUGACAGCAAAAAAUGGGAACUUAUUUAAAGAUAACUAUGAAAAAUGUUGGGCUGAAGUGAAAAAAGAUUUAGAAAUUUGGUCAAAUUUGAAGCUUUCACUGCUGGGCCGUAUUGCUGCGGUUAAAAUGAAUGUAUUGCCUAGAAUGUUGUUUUUGUUUCAAACAUUGCAAAUUGUGGACAAAAUGGACUGUUUCAAGAGGUGGCAGAGAGAUAUUUCUAGAUUUGUCUGGCAGGGCAAGAAGCCCAGAAUAAAAUUUAAAAUACUAACAGAUGUAAAGGAAAGAGGUGGAUUUGCCCUGCCAGACCUCAAACUUUAUUAUGAAUCAGCAGCUUUUGCUGGUUGAAAGAAUGGCUGCUUCUUGAAAACACUGACAUUUUGGAUUUGGAAGGUUUUAACAAUGUAUUUGGAUGGCAUGCAUAUCUGUGGUAUGAUAAGGUCAAAGCACAUAAAGCAUUUAAAAACCAUAUUGUCAGGAAAGCAUUGUUUAAUGUUUGGAUAAGACAUAAGGAUAUAUUGGAAAAUAAAACCCCAAGGUGGCUGUCACCGAUGGAAGCGAAAGCCUUGAAAAAGCUCAAUAUGGAGGUCAAAUGGCCGAAAUAUUGGGAAAUUUUGGAACAAGAUGGAGAUAGAUUGAAAUUGCAGAGUUUUGAAAAACUAAAAAACAAAGUGCGAGACUGGCUUCAUUAUUAUCAGAUAAUGGAGGCAUACAAUUUGGACAAGAAAAUCGGCUUCCAGGUGGAAAAAUCAAAAUUAGAAACAGAAUUGUUAGAACCCAAAACUAAAAUUUUGUCAAAGAUGUAUAACUUGCUGUUGAAAUGGAAUACUCAGGAUGAAACGGUGAAAUCUGCUAUGAUUAAAUGGGCACAAGAUGUUGGACAUAAUAUUAUGUUUGCUGACUGGGAACAGUUGUGGACCACAGGUAUGAAAUUCACGGCAUGUAAUGCCUUAAGAGAAAAUAUUAUGAAAAUGAUAUACAGGUGGUACAUAACCCCAGUCAAGCUUGCAAAAAUCUACCAUUUGCCUGAUAAUAAAUGUUGGAAAUGUAAAGAAACUGAAGGUACAUUUUUUCACCUUUGGUGGACGUGCCCAAAGAUUAAGGCUUUCUGGGAGAUGAUAUAUAAUGAACUAAAAAAGGUAUUUAUAUACCUUCCUGAAGAAACCAGAGGCCUUUCUCCUGGGCAUAGUUGGCCAAUCGGUGUUAAAAAAGGACAGAACUUUCUUUAUGUAUGCUACAACAGCAGCAAGAAUACCCAUUGCAAAGCAUUGGAAGACACAAGAUCUACCCACACUGGAGGAAUGGCAGAUGAAAAUGAUGGACUACAUGGAAUUGGCGGAAAUGACUGACAGAAUCCGUGACCAGGGAGAAGAGUCGGUGGAAUAAUAAUAAUAAUAAUAAUAAUUUAUUAUUUAUACCCCGCCCAUCUGGCUGGGCUUCCCCGGCCACUCUGGGCGGCUUCCAAAAGAAUAUUAAAAUACUAUAAUACAUCAAACAUUAAAAGCUUCCCGAAACAGGGCUGCCUUCAGAUGUCUUCUAAAAGCCUGGUAGUUGUUCUCUUUGACAUCCGGUGGAAGAAGAUUGGAAGAAAUUUAAAGACUAUUUACAGAAAUAUUGCAAAAUUAAUGAAUGUUAGAAUGAUGUUGGAUUGAAGUUAAGUGGUUUCUAUUUUUUUUUUAAAUAAUUUUUAUUAAAGUUUUAAACAAAGAAAAAAGAAAAAACAACACACACAGAAAAACAAUACAAAAUUUAACAAUAAAAACACAAAACAUAACAAUUAAAAACAAACUCUCUUUUCCAUUCCCAAUUUUAAAUUACUUAUUUUCUGGACUUCCUCAUACCUCCCUCUUUUUUAUUCAAAUAUAGAUUAUUUGUACAGCAGUUUCUUUUCCACUUUUUUAAACCCAAUCUUUAAUUUAUUAAAAUAUUAAAAUAUAUAACUUCAACUUUUUUAAACAUAAUCCUUGUUCUUAAUGUCAUAUACCUUUAAAUUUUUCCCUUUUAUUAUCAAAUUUCCAUUUCUUUAAACACCUUUAAUCUUGAUCUUAAAUCUUAAUCUAUCCUUAACUUUAACCUGUACAGCUGGAAACCACUUAUUUUCAAUCCAACAUCACUCUAACAUUCCUUAAUUUUGCAGUGUUUCUGAAGAUAGUCUUUGAAUUUCUUCCAGUCUUCCUCCAUCGACUCUUCUCCCUGGUCACGGAUUCUGCCAGUCAUUUCCGCCAAUUCCAUAUAGUCCAUAAAUUUCAUCUGCCAGAAGUUAAGUGGUUUCUAGCUGUACAGGUACAAAAGAAUAUGGAAAAAUUGGUUUGUAAUAUGUAAAAAUUUAAAGUUAUAACAUAUCAAGAUUAAAGAUUAGGAUUAAAAAGGAGGGAAAGGAAUUGUUGGAUUAACAAACUUAAUUGGAAUACAAAAGAGGGAGGUAUGAGGAGGUCCGGGAAACAAGUAAACGUAAAAGAAGUGAGGAAAAGAUGGAAUUGUUUUUAACUGAUUUUUCUACUUUGUAUUUUUCUUUUUCAUUGUUAAUUUUUUUUUACUAAUGUGAUUUUUUUCCCUUUGAAACUUUAAUAAAUAUAUAUUUUUUUUUAAAAAGGACCAAUCAGACUGCUGCAUUCUGAAUCCUAUUGUUCUAGGACCAAUCAGACUGCUGCCUUUUGGAUCCUAUUGUUCUAGGACCAAUCAGACUGCUGCAGUUUGGAUCCUAUUCAACUCAGUACAUAACACUUACUUAAGCCUUCUUUUGCAGGUUAACCUCUUCUUCACAGGUACGCGGGUGCUGCUAUGUCAGGGUCGCUGUUGAAGGGCCGGAAAUGAUUUUUCCUGCAUUGGCAGGUUUUGCCUUCCCCGUAGCAAAACGUCACAACUUUGGCUGUUUCAGGCCUUGGGUGGAAUCCUUUAGUCUAUCUUCCCUAAAUGGGGGAGGGGGGCUGAAGCAAUGACCCACGCCCCCCUUGUGGCGGUGAUCCCAGGGUUCCCCAUUAAAGGGGUUGUUUUGAGGGGAGGCAUUGGCCAUACGCCAAGAGGUUGUCAUUGCUCUCCCCUGCGUCAGUGGCGAAAUGGGGAGUGGGCUCUCUGCUUGAACAGACGUUCUCCAGAGCCAGCCCAAUCCCCACAUAUUCUGGAUAACCCUGAUGUUCCCCAGAUCCCCAGCCGGGGACUGGGAGGGAUAAAUGCCCAAUGCUUAAGCCAAGGUCUCCCUACAUCUGAAGUUUUCAUAAAGUUGUGACCAAAUUUUAAUCCCAUAACACGUUGUCUUGAGUCAUUAUUCCACGCGAGUGUUGCCCAGGGUCGGGGGGGUCUCCACCUCUCCGUGCAAUAGAUACCAAAAAACCAAUACAAUAUCUUCUUAUCUCAAAGUUCAUUGUCAGUAAAGGUAAAGGGACCCCUGACCAUUAGGUCCAGUCUUGGCCGACUCUGGGGUUGCGGCUCUCAUCUCUCUUUAUUGGCCGAGGGAGCCGGCGUACAGCUUCCGGGUCAUGUGGCCAGCAUGACUAAGCCGCUUCUGGUGAACCAGAGUAGCACACGGAAACGCCAUUUGCCUUCCCGCCGGAGUGCUACCUAUUUAUCUACUUGCACUUUGAUGUGCUUUCGAACUGCUAGGUUGGCAGGAGCAGGGACCGAGCAAUGGAAGCUCACCCCGUUGUGGGGAUUCGAACUGCCAACCUUCUGGUCGGCAAGCCCUAGGCUCUGUGGUUUAACCCACAGCGCCACCUGCGUCCCAUUUCCUUUCAGUACUUUCCUGUAAUUGUUUUCGCUCAUUGAUUCCCCGUACCAUCAGUUCAUAUUCUUCUGAGUGCUUCACCUUCCUUUACUCUCUUUUCGAUUUCGACAUCUGAUUCUAGGUGAAAUGGGAGUAACUCUGGUAUUUUUCUUUUCCAGAUAUCUCAGGAAGGAAUGAUUGCUGCCUGCUUACCCAGGAUCCUUUGAAAAAUGGGAGAUGUUCCCUCACCUUGAGAGCCACUGGAUCCUGCUUAAUCCCUUGCUGGAGACGCCUUCUGCUUAUUCCCCAAAGCAUCCAAAUAAAAAUUAAUAAAUGAAGA